rnacentral:sRNA from 1 species
AAAAUGUCCAUAUGUCUGAAGCUUCAUACUUGACCUUGGGAUCUCAGAGGGGAAUUGAACUUUCUUCCUUCUGUUUUCCCCUGCUCCCCGCUAUCCUGCUAUGCCCUCAACCCUGAGCGUCUCUAGAGACCUCACUGCAGCCUGGGCAGGGGAAGUGCCUAGGGAUGGGCGCUCAUGGGUAGGCUGUGCUGCUCCUCUCUCACCAUCCCCACCACCACCUCCUGCCCCCAGGGAGAACAGCAGCAACAUCCUGGACAACCUGCUGUCCCGCAUGGAGCAGUACGCGAACAAUCUGGAGGAACUGGUGGAGGAGCGGACCCAGGCGUACCUGGAGGAGAAGCGCAAGGCCGAGGCCCUGCUCUACCAGAUCCUGCCUCACUCAGUGGCUGAGCAGCUGAAGCGUGGGGAGACGGUGCAGGCCGAAGCCUUUGACAGCGUUACCAUCUACUUCAGUGACAUUGUGGGUUUCACAGCGCUGUCGGCGGAGAGCACGCCCAUGCAGGUGGUGACCCUGCUCAAUGACCUGUACACUUGCUUUGAUGCUGUCAUAGACAACUUUGAUGUGUACAAGGUGGAGACAAUUGGCGAUGCCUACAUGGUGGUGUCGGGGCUCCCUGUGCGGAAUGGGCGGCUGCACGCCUGCGAAGUAGCCCGCAUGGCCCUGGCGCUGCUGGAUGCUGUGCACUCCUUCCGAAUCCGCCACCGGCCCCAGGAGCAGCUGCGCUUGCGCAUUGGCAUCCACACAGGACCUGUGUGUGCUGGAGUGGUGGGACUGAAGAUGCCCCGUUACUGUCUCUUUGGGGAUACAGUCAACACAGCCUCAAGAAUGGAAUCUAAUGGGGAAGCCCUGAAGAUCCACUUGUCUUCUGAGACAAAGGCUGUCCUGGAGGAGUUUGGUGGUUUCGAGCUGGAGCUUCGAGGGGAUGUGGAAAUGAAGGUAGAGGGAGAAGCCUCUGCCCUCCCCACCUUUUGGGGUCCUAGAGGGAGUUACCCUUCUCAAGCAGCCAAUGCCACUCCCAUCCCUAAGGCUCUCAUCUGACUGGGGAAAGGGCAUGUGCCACUCCCCAGCCCAUCCUCUUUUUUCCCUCCAGGGCAAAGGCAAAGUUCGGACCUACUGGCUCCUGGGGGAGCGGGGGAGUAGCACCCGAGGCUGACCUGCCUCCUCUCCUAUCCCUCCACACCUCUCUACCCUGUGCCAGAAGCAACAGAGGUGCCAGGCCUCAGCCUCGCCCACAGCAGCCCCAUCGCCAAAGGAUGGAAGUAGUUUGAAUAGCUCAGGUGUGCUGACCCCAGUGAAGACACCAGAUAGGACCUCUGAGAGGGGACUGGCGUGGGGGGAUCUCAGAGCUUACAGGGAGCCAAGCCCACGGCCAUGCACAGGGACACUCACACAGGCACACGCACUUGCUCUCCACCUGGACUCAGGCCGGGCUGGGCUGUGGAUUCCUGAUUCCCUCCCCUCCCCAUGCUCUCCUCCCUCAGCCUUGCUACCCUGUGACUUACUGGGAGGAGAAAGAGUCACCUGAAGGGGAACAUGAAAAGAGUCUAGGUGAAGAGAGGGCAGGGGAGCCCACAUCUGGGCCUGGCCCACAAUACCUGUUCCCCCGACCCCCUCCACCCAGCGGUAGACACAGUGCACAGGGGAGAAGAGGGGUGGCGCAGAAGGGUUGGGGGCCUGUAUGCCUUGCUUCUACUGUGAGCAGAGA